rnacentral:tRNA from 1 species
UUUUAUUUAAAUUUAGUGGUAUAAGCUUGUGACUGUAAACGCGACGGUUGUGCGUUCGAUUCCCACUCCAAUAAAUG